rnacentral:rRNA from 1 species
UGGAAGUAAAAGUCGUACAAGGUUUCCGUAGGUGAACCUGCGGAAGGAUCAUUACUGAGUGAGGGCCCUCUGGGUCCAACCUCCCACCCGUGUUUAUUGUACCUUGUUGCUUCGGUGCGCCCGCCUCACGGCCGCCGGGGGGCUUCUGCCCCCGGGUCCGCGCGCACCGGAGACACCAUUGAACUCUGUCUGAAGAUUGCAGUCUGAGCAUAAACUAAAUAAGUUAAAACUUUCAACAACGGAUCUCUUGGUUCCGGCAUCGAUGAAGAACGCAGCGAAAUGCGAUAACUAAUGUGAAUUGCAGAAUUCAGUGAAUCAUCGAGUCUUUGAACGCACAUUGCGCCCCCUGGUAUUCCGGGGGGCAUGCCUGUCCGAGCGUCAUUGCUGCCCUCAAGCACGGCUUGUGUGUUGGGCUCCGUCCCCCCGGGGACGGGCCCGAAAGGCAGCGGCGGCACCGAGUCCGGUCCUCGAGCGUAUGGGGCUUUGUCACCCGCUCUGCAGGCCCGGCCGGCGCCAGCCGACAACCCAUCAUCCUUUUCAGGUUGACCUCGGAUCAGGUAGGGAUACCCGCUGAACUUAAGCAUAUCAAUAAGCGGAGGA